rnacentral:rRNA from 1 species
CCUACGGGGGGCAGCAGUGGGGGAUAUUGCACAAUGGGGGGAACCCUGAUGCAGCGACGCCGCGUGGGUGAAGAAGCGCCUCGGCGCGUAAAGCCCUGUCAGCAGGGAAGAAAAUGACGGUAUCUGAAGAAGAAGCACCGGCUAACUACGUGCCAGCAGCCGCGGUAAUACGUAGGGGGCAAGCGUUAUCCGGAUUUACUGGGUGUAAAGGGGGCGCAGACGGCGUUGCAAGCCAGGAGUGAAAGCCCGGGGCCCAACCCCGGGACUGCACUUGGAACUGCGUGGCUAGAGUGCAGGAGGGGCAGGCGGAAUUCCUGGUGUAGGGGUGAAAUGCGUAGAUAUCAGGAGGAACACUGGUGGCGAAGGCGGCCUGCUGGACUGCAACUGACGUUGAGGCCCGAAAGCGUGGGGAGCAAACAGGAUUAGAUACCCGGGUAGUC